rnacentral:rRNA from 1 species
AGUGAACGCUGGCGGUAGGCCUAACACAUGCAAGUCGAACGGCAGCACAGUAAGAGCUUGCUCUUACGGGUGGCGAGUGGCGGACGGGUGAGGAAUACAUCGGAAUCUACUUUUUCGUGGGGGAUAACGUAGGGAAACUUACGCUAAUACCGCAUACGACCUACGGGUGAAAGCAGGGGAUCUUCGGACCUUGCGCGAUUGAAUGAGCCGAUGUCGGAUUAGCUAGUUGGCGGGGUAAAGGCCCACCAAGGCGACGAUCCGUAGCUGGUCUGAGAGGAUGAACCGCCCACUUGGAACUGAAACACGGCCCAACCUCACACGGGGGGCAGGUGGGGGGAAUUUUGGCAAAGGGGGGCAAGCCUGUCCCAGCCAUACCGCGGGGGUGAAGAAGCCCUUCGGUUUGUAAAGCCCUUUUUUUGGGAAAAAAAAGCAGCAGGUUAAAACCCCCUUUUUCUAACGGUCCCCAAAAAAUAAGCCCCGGCAAACUUCGU